GACGAACGCUGGCGGCGUGCCUAAUACAUGCAAGUCGAACGCUGAAGGAGGAGCUUGCUUCUCUGGAUGAGUUGCGAACGGGUGAGUAACGCGUAGGUAACCUGCCUGGUAGCGGGGGAUAACUAUUGGAAACGAUAGCUAAUACCGCAUAAUAUUGACUAUUGCAUGAUAGUCAGUUGAAAGGUGCAACUGCACCACUACCAGAUGGACCUGCGUUGUAUUAGCUAGUUGGUGGGGUAACGGCUCACCAAGGCGACGAUACAUAGCCGACCUGAGAGGGGGAUCGGCCACACUGGGACUGAGACACGGCCCAGACUCCUACGGGAGGCAGCAGUAGGGAAUCUUCGGCAAUGGACGGAAGUCUGACCGAGCAACGCCGCGUGAGUGAAGAAGGUGUUCGGAUCGUAAAGCUCUGUUGUAAGAGAAGAACGAGUGUGAGAGUGGAAAGCUCACACUGUGACGGUAUCGUACCAGAAAGGGACGGCUAACUACGU
rnacentral:rRNA from 1 species